GUUGGAGUAGUGUGAAACGAGUCUCACAGUCAGAAAUUGAAGUUUAUUAAUUCCAUGCCGAUUUUGAAGAUAAUUAAAAGUUCAGGACCUCUUCGCGAUGCUCUUUUGAUCCGGGCAAUUACUUAGUUGCAAAUAACAUACCUGACUUCAGCAAAUUUUCCUAUUUCGUAAACCAAUUUAAUUUGCACCCUCCAUGAAAAAAUGUUUCAAUACGAAAAUAAAUAACCUAAGAAACAGUAUAUUGAAUCAAAUAUCACUACUAAGGUUCUUCGUUUGAUUUCUGACUAAUAAUUCUUAAAAAAGCGCAGCCAUUUGAAGUGCCUUGGUAGCAUCGAAUGUGUUAAUGUAAUUUAAAUAUUGUAAUUGUACUGAUAUGUAGUUUUGUAAAAAUGAGUGAACAUAGCUGUAUGAAAUGUAUGAAAGCUAUUCAGCUGGCUUUUUUGUUCAUCAAACUGUUAUGUACUUAUUACACUUACUGUAAACUUAGUAUUAAACUAGCUGGUUGGUUGUAAAUUUACAGACUAAACAAUAAAAUAACAAAUCUUCUGAAAAGAAUAGCUUGAAACGUUUAUUUAAAUACAUAUUCGUACAAUAAAGAGGCAAUUAAAUGCUCUGCAGUGAGUACCCUUUUAAAAAAGAACACAAUUUUAAACAUGCUAUAAGCAAUGGAAAUUAAGUGAUGAAAAGACUUUUAACAAUGAGAUCGAACAUUUUUCUUUCCACGGCACAAUAUGCACAUUGUAAGUGUGUACAGCUGUAGUUUCAAGCUUUAAUUUCAUAUAAAAAUUAAAAGUGAAUUGUUGUGCGUUUGUAUAUUUCCACCUCUUUUUGUUUUAAGGUCUGUUUUGGUCCCAAGAAAAUUUUGGACAGCACAUAAUUAUUAUAAAUUAGAAACAGCAGAGAAUUCAGAUGCUAACACAAAAUUAAAAACAGAUACUCCUGGUCCUUUUUAAAGCCUACAAGAAGUAGAAUUAAUAUCCUACCUCAGAUAAUUCUGUAUGUACAACCUGCUA